rnacentral:rRNA from 1 species
AUGUACAAUGUGCCGGAUCGCCAUUGGGUUAGCACUGCCACCUUGUACUUUGAAGAUCAUGCUGCUCUAUGGCUGCAAGCAUACAAGCAUACUCACUGGCAGAUGAAUUGGGAUGCCUUGAUCACAGCCCUGGUCGCGGAGUUUGGCAGCGAUGACUACGAUGGCCAGAUGUCUAGUCUGUUGCAGCUCAAGCAAAUUGAAGCAGUGGCCGAAUACAAGCACAAAUUCGAGUCCUGCAUGUACCACCUCUUAUCUGUUGAUUCUGCUCUGAACUCAAAAUGGUUUGUUUCUCAUUUCAUCCAUGGCUUUCGUGAUGAAUUUAGAGCAGCAGUCAGAUUGCAACAUCCAGAUAGUGUAACAAAGGCAGCUCAUCUAGCACAAAUUCAAGAGGAAGAAAAUGACACUUGCCACCGUCCACGAGCAUGCCUUGCUGCAGCAAUCAAACACCAGAUGGCCCAUCCACCUCAAGGGGCAUUGGAACCCCAUCGAGACAAGGAUGAGUUUGCUCGGGAGCGCAUGUUACGAGAAUCCAGACAAGCUCAAGGACUUUGUUUCUGGUGUGGAGACAAGUAUAGCCAUGAGCACAAGUGCAAACCCCCUGCCCAACUAUUGACCAUACAAGUGGGGGACUGUGGCGAAACUCUCUCUGAUGAUACAAUUCAUGCUUUGGAAUUGCUAGACGAGCCAGCACUAGCUGGUUGA